UUAGUUUUUCCCUUGCUUCGAUGACGUCUAGUUGAACACAUCUUAUGGAACCUUUAUCUUCACAUGAACAUUCAACUCGUCUCUCUCCAAUAAUCUCGACCUGAUCUGCAAGUAGCUCCAUUUUAGGCAUUGGAAUGAUAGUCCUUCCAGCAAGUUUGUUUUCAUUGGCUUGAGAUGGAGGACUCACAGUUUCAUGUAUACCUUCUAUGCAUGGUUUAUCCUUAUUACUAUAUGGUGUCCAUUCUGGUAGCUCUGCCUGGAAAUCUGGUCCAAUGGGGACCAUCUUUUGAGCAUUACUCAAAAGAGAAGAAUAUAUCUCCCUGUGAUGAGCAGCAGCCCUGAACGGAUGAUCAAAAUAGUAAUAUUCAGGAGAUGUCGAUAAGUGAAAAGGAGCCUCAGG